AUAUUAGGUUUUUACAUAAAUAUGUUAUUUUCACAUAAUUCGAUUAGAUAAUCUAUCUAUUACUAAUAAAAGAAACUAAUAGAGGCCUCUCAAGCCAUCCACAUCAGCAAAAUGAAAACUAUGUAAGAGGAUGCCACAUCACCUACACCUUACCCACGUCAUCUAAACAUAGAGAAAGAAAUCGUCUCUUCGCCUCCUCCCGAAAACGUUCGGCCACAAACUUUCCCUAAAUCCAUAAAUCUCCCACAAUGCCACAAACUCUUCGAUUUCAAGCUUCUCUCAUCUCCUAUGGCUUCCGUUUUCAACCCAUAUCGGGUUACUUUUGGAUUCAAGUUCAGUACAUGUUCUUUGAAGCUCCUCUCAUCUCAUGUUAAACCCAAAGGCCACGAUCUCUUCAGUUUUCAAUGCGGUUUACUCAUCCAAAAUCAACACAGCCUUUGUAAAUAGAGUAUCCGACAAACCAUAGAGGCUUCUCUCCAUUUUAAACCUUUUGUCUGAUUAAUUAUCAAGUCACUGGAUAAUCAAACAAGUUCUUCAUGGUGACCAAAAGCAGAAGAAAAAUUGAAAGUACUAGAACAUCCACAAGGGUGAGUGCAUCUCAAGGUAAGCCAGAAAUAAGAACGAGAUAACGGGGUAUGUUUCUAAGCGAGUAUUUAGUGUAUCAUUAUCUUUAUUUUUCCCUCCUCUACUAUAAAUAAUUUAUAAAUUGUCUCCCUUACCGGGAUGAAGUGUUUCAAUUUCAGGGUUUGUUGUCUACGUUUUCGAAUCUGAGAUUAUGUAUUCACAAAAUUCCAAAGAUUGGCUCAGCUAAUCAAAUGGAGAAUGUUCUUUUAUUAGGACUUCUAGAAAUUAUUA